rnacentral:rRNA from 1 species
AUUGAACGCUAGCGGGAUGCCUUACACAUGCAAGUCGAACGGAGUGGCGAACGGGUGAGUAAUGUAUCGGCACGUGCCCAGUAGCGGGGGAUAACUACGCGAAAGCGUAGCUAAUACCGCAUACUAUUGGAGCGGCCGAUAUCGGAUUAGCUAGGUGGUGGGGUAACGGCUCCCAAAGGCGACGAUCCGUCGCUGGUUUGAGAGGACGACCAGCCACACUGGGACUGAGACGCGGCCCAGACCCCACCGUGAGGCAGCAGGGGGGAAUUGUGGACAAGGGGGGAAACCCUGAGCCAGCCCUCCCGCGUGGGCGAUGAAGGCCUUCGGGUUUGAAAGCACUUUUGGCAGGAAAGCGGUACCUGCAGAAUAAGCACCGGCUAACUACGUGCCAGCCGCCGCGGUAAUAC